GCUAAAUGCUGCAAUGUCCUCCAAUUUAGAAAGUCAUCUUGAAGCUGUAAAACCCUGUGCCCAGAUUCAUUCCUGGAAUCCCUUUUGGUCCCAGAAGGAAAAGAAAGGCAGGGAAACAGAGGAGGAGGGGUCAUCUUGGGUAACAUGUCACUUGGGCAACAUUCUGGACAACAUUAGAGCCUCCAGCCAGGCUGCACACCUGCCAAUACAGUGUUCCCAGGCUGCCGGAUGUCUCGGGCCCAUCUCCUCAGAGCCGUGACCAGGACCAGGGAGGAAAACGGAGCCCUGUGUACCCCUAAUAGCUCAAAGAUAAGAAAGAAGGGGUGUCGUGGUAAGAACAAUAGGGAGAAUAUUAGAGCAGGUCCUGUUCAUCCUAAUGAAGAUGCAUCGUUGGCACUUGCCUCCCGCAUGGCUGGGAAAGAGCAGUGCAACCAAAAGGCCCCAUCCAGAUGGAGGAGCUCAGUAGAACAUCUGCCUUGCAUGUCUGUCACCUCCCUACCUCCUGCUGCUGUGUUAGCUGCCAGCCAUUAUAGCAGCUCCUGAGUCAAGGGCCCUCCUCUUGUAGUGUUUUCUUGGAGCUUUGACAGAUUAUCUACACUGUCAUUCCCAACAGCAUCGUGCCAUCUUUCUUAAAACUGCAGGAAGAUCCUGAUGGAAAUCUCAGUCCUUUUAAAAAAAAAAAAAAAAACCCUCCAAAAUAAAUUCCAUUAAACUAUAGUUAUGCCUGCAAAUUUUAUAUCAACUGGCAUUAGGCAGUUAGUUCACUGCAUCAACUACAUGGAUGGCCUAUAGCGUCCAUGUGACACUGAAGAAACGAGAGAGCUGUGGAAAAUGCAUUCACCCCUCUCCAUGUCCUCUACCACCAAUCUAAGUCCAAACCAGCCUCAUAUCCUGCCCAGAUUAUUACAGUAGCUGCCUAAUUGAUCUGGUCCAACCAUCUUAGUUAGUCCAAAUCAUCACUUGCCUGAGCAUUACUAAGUAGCCUCCUAACUAGCAUGUUUCCACUCUAGCUCUCCUUAACCCAGUUGAUUUUCCACAUUUGGGCACAUGAAAUAACAUUUUUGAAACCAAAUUCUGAACAUCUGAAUUUUGAUGAAAACCUUUCUAUGGCUUCCUAAAGCUAUUAGAGAUUAUUUACUACUGAUAAAUCAAGAUUGCUAUUGGCACCCUGAAGGCAAUGCAUGAUCUAUCCUUUGCCUAGCUUUUAUCUAAAAACAUCAUUUUCCUUUUUCCCCAUACUUUAGUCGUACCAGCCAUUUAUCUGUUCUGCCAACAUGCUAUGGUCCUUUCUGCCCUAGGGAUAUUGUAAUACUAUUGUUUCAGACUGGAAAUCCUUCCCCAUCUCAUUACACUUCACCUACUAAACCAUCACUUUUCAUAAUUCCAAUUUAAACACCACUUCCUCAGAGAUUCCCUGUGCUCCAUCACCCACUAAUCCUUUCUAUAGUGUCCUUUCCUCUACUUUUGAAGCUCUUAUAGUUUGUAAUUACAUAUCACCAUGAUUAUUUUAUUAAAUACCUAUCUCCCUCCACUAGGCUGUGUUUACCGAGAAGCCAGAAACUUUGC
ensembl:lncRNA